rnacentral:rRNA from 1 species
UGGGGAAUAUUGCACAAUGGGGGAAACCCUGAUGCAGCAACGCCGCGUGAGUGAUGACGGUCUUCGGAUUGUAAAGCUCUGUCUUUAGGGACGAUAAUGACGGUACCUAAGGAGGAAGCCACGGCUAACUACGUGCCAGCAGCCGCGGUAAUACGUAGGUGGCAAGCGUUGUCCGGAUUUACUGGGCGUAAAGGGAGCGUAGGUGGAUAUUUAAGUGGGAUGUGAAAUACCCGGGCUUAACCUGGGUGCUGCAUUCCAAACUGGAUAUCUAGAGUGCAGGAGAGGAAAGGAGAAUUCCUAGUGUAGCGGUGAAAUGCGUAGAGAUUAGGAAGAAUACCAGUGGCGAAGGCGCCUUUCUGGACUGUAACUGACACUGAGGCUCGAAAGCGUGGGGAGCAAACAGGA